CUUUUUUUUCCUUUUUAGCGAUUGAACAGGAGAAGCAAGCGGGUGAAUCGUAAUGAAAUCUGCCCUUCCAAAUUAUGCACUGUACAUUCCACAAGCAUUGCCUUCUUAUUUUACUUCUUUUAGCUGUUUAACUUUGUAAAAUGCAAAGAGGUUGGGUAAAGUUUAAAAAUGACUGUACUGCCCCUUUCACAUCAAAAGAAUAGAGAGAACUACUGACAAUGAAUGAAGGCGCUGCCUUUCCCUCUGCCUGUCUGGCUUUGGUCCUGGUGGCAUGAAAGAGCUUGCAUGUUGAUGGAAGAAGAACUUGGGUGGGACUACAGUAAACUAGAGUAACACACGAAUAAAUGCAAAGCUGUACCAAGGUCCUGCGAGCUGUAAAAUGCAGUUAAUCGAGUGCCAUAUUUUUUUUUUGGUUCAAAUGAUUUUAAUUAUUGGAAUGCACAAUUUUUUUAAUAUGCAAAUAAAAUGUUUUAAAACCUGGAUGGUAUUUCUGUCCUCUAUCUGGAGAAGCGUAUCAAAGGAAUGUGAAGCGUAAGAGCCGGUGCUGAGGAUGCUAGGAAGCCUCUGGAGAUGAUCCAAACCUCCAUCACCAUUCUCAGGUUCUGAUACAUGUUCUCAGCAAUAGAUGUGUUUGCGUCCCUUGGAGCUCGCUCUUAGAGCAUCACAUUUAAACACUGCAUGUCUUAAAAUUGGUUGUCAUGUGAGUACAUCACUUUAAAUACGACUUUAAUAUUUAUGUAGAGAUUUGUUGAAAAGCAAAAGAUUUGGCUUUUUUUUUUUUUUUUUUUGCUUUGCCCCACCCAUAGCGUAGCACUGUUGGUAAGAACCUUUCUGUAUUGCUGCACAGAUUCAACCUCAGUUGUAUGAAUUGAUAGCAGGUUUAAUUAAUAGGACUCAUUCUGCUUAACAGUAUUUAAUAAAUUUUCGUUCCAAGACUGUUAGAUGUUUAAUAUCCUAAACCAGUUUUAGUGGGUGGUGUCCUAUGCCAACUAAAAUCAUUUUACUAAAAUGUUGAUCGUGCUUUAAACGCUUCUAUGUUCUCUUAAUGGCUAUUUGAUCUUAAGGAUUGAUACAGAAGAAUAUAAAACUACAGUUUCCUCCUAAUUAAUUGAAAAUUAAUCAUUUGCGUGCAAAAGUAACAAAUCAGGUUAUGAUACAUUUUAUCUGUGACUAGCAACCCUGCACAUUGCUGGUUGAUGGUGGUUCAUUCAGUCCUGGGAUAAUUUUUGUUUGUUUUUACCUCAAAUAACUCAAAUAACUGUGGGUAAAAUCUCUCACAGAGAGGUAGUGGGAGUAGUCAUGAUAUAGCCUAUUUUAAUACAAAGGACAAAGAUGUCAGGCCUGCAGCAGUGUGUUGAGCAUGAUUCCAGAGUGCCUUGGUUGUCUCUUCAGGCUCAGCCUGUAUUCGUUUCAACCAUUUCCUAUAAAGCAUCGAGUUAAGUUUGGAUUUGCUAAGGCUGCUGAUGGUAGGUUUGGGGAGGUGGCAUAAAUGUGGGAAUCUAAGCAUAGCAACCAGCUUUGUCCUUGACUGAGGAAUGGUGGUGAGGGUGGUGGGGCUCCCUUGCCUGCCUGGGGUCUGGUGGAGAGAGCAGACCUGGAGUCCCUUGUGUGCAGCCCCAGCCUAACGACAGAGAACUUUCAGAACCGUGCGUUUGGUGGUAAGAUGAGAUUCAGUCCUGAGAAGUUUUCAUGCAGUCUAUGGGAAGAUUUUGAAGCCCUGAUGGCAUAGGGACCUCGCAGCAGUUCAAGCAGAUGAGCUGAGGAAAAAAAGCAAACCAUUUCUUGUGAUGGUAAAUGUAUUAAGCUUUUAUUCCCUGUGUACAGUGGGAAAGGCACAGGAAACUUCUAAGCUGAGUUUCUGAAAAGUCAAUUAAACGGCCAACGUGCAGCUACUGAUGGUAAUCAGGUAGCACAGGAAAUAGCAUGACUAACCUCAGAAGCUUACAGCACAGGCUGUACGUGCUCAAUAGCGGCAAGCGCUCGCUCACUGCGGAUUCACCUAUACAAAGGAAAUUAAAGCAGCACAUUUCCAAAAGAGGAAGAGCAGAAGAUACGCAUAGCUCUGGAUCCUCAGCUGGACUGGCUGAAGGCAGAUGGUUCCACGGGUGGAGCCUGGGGGAACUGCGGAGACUCAUAUCCACUCUGAAAGUUAGCACUUCAUUUACUGUCUGGCAUUACUGGCCUUGGUGAGGAAAAGAAAGCAGCAGACACAGACCACUUCUUUAACAAGCAGAAGGGAAAGGAUGUUCCUCCUGUUCUUCCUCGUCAUCCCUGUGUCUCACAGGUGAGGAGUCCCCACUGAGAAGCAGCCCUUCCUUUUCUCACCCCUCAGCAACAAGCAACAUGCUCACCGAAAUAAGAAGGUAGCCUGAGGCUUCUUGAUCAGUGCUCAAUGAAAUGUUUCGUGUCUAAGUCAAGGUUUGUCUGGAGCUAGACAGAAGUUGUGAACUCAACAUUUACACACAUAAGGCACUCCCCUUCGAUUCCCUCUAGGUCUACUUGUGUUUGUUCUUUGCCUUUCAGACAUUCAGUCAGUCAUACAUUAUCCCUUAAGGCAAUGAUGAUUUUUGAAAAAAAACCCACACUUAUAACUCAGUCAGUAAUUUAAUUGACAAGACUAUACAUACUUUACCACCUCCAGAAACAAGCAUGAAUACAUGAGGACUAAAAGAAGUUUCAAAUAUGCAAGUUUUAUUAUUCUCAUCUUUGUAAUACUUUUCACAGUUAUGACCAAUGAUUUUGUUACACAUUAGAAAGUCAUAUUCCAGCAGCAAAAUAAUAGGACUAGAAAUUAAUAAUUCCCAUUACCUCAUGACAUCUUAAGUGCCUCUAAUGCCACCUCUUUUUUGUCACCUAUUCUUUACUGGGUCUUCUAGUUAGUUUAUCUUGAUGGUAAACAUCCAGGCAGUACUUGUGGAAUUUGUAUGAUAUAAAUGUACACCUUCGUUGUGCAGCAUGCUCCUAUGAUUCAUAUUCUCAAUAUAAUUUAAACAACCACCAAUAUGAGCUAUAAUUUCCAUCAUUUAGAAGAUAACAUAUGGAACAGGACACUAUUGUUUUUUCUUAUGAAUACUGAAAUAUGCAGAUGUUAUUUUGUUGAUUACAACUUCUUUGUGGUGAAAACAGAAAAAUUUAGUCCACUUUAGGCAAAACAAUCUUAGUAAAAAUGUUAUAAAAGAUGUACCUCAUAAAUCACCCAUGAAAUGAACCAAAUAUCAAGGGCUAUUAUUGUCUUUAUCUUUGUGUUGUCUUAAUUUUCUCCCAGUAACUAAAACGUGCACUAAAAUGUGCAUCCCUGAUCUCCCAUAUAAAAAAUCUAAUUAAUAAUGUGCAAGCUAUUACCUUGUUGUUUUGGGUGUUUUUUUUUUUUUUUUUUUCAGAAUUAUCUGCAAUUGUUUUAGUAGGGUUAUUUCAUAUAGAUCUCUGUGUUGGGUGAAUGCUGCAUUUAGCAGCGUGAAUAUUUAAGGCCAUGGAGCAUUAAAUUAGUGAGUUCUAAGUAUAGAGUCUCAUCGUUGUGUGAAGCACAUAUAGGACAGUAUGUAUCUUUAUAUAUCCUAUUUACCACUUAUCUGCUCCCAUUGCUUUUAUCAGUCUGGCUUUCUUCCUCAUUUGCCCAUCCAUUCUUGAGUUUAGUCACAUAUGUUUCUUGAUUUACAAUAUUUCAUGGUCAGCUGGUCUGUAAGGACAGAUUCUUGCAUUUCCAUGAAAAUAAAGGAUCCCAAGGUGUCUAUGUGCAUUUUUAUGCUAUAUUCACAUGGGCUCUCAGAAAUGAGUUAGCUUGUACAGGUAGGGAUAGAUUUGCAAAAGCACUCUGUUGAUUCAGGUGCAUACAUGCUUUGAAACCUUGGCUUACAGUAGCUCUAGCUAUUCUGUAAAGUUGUCCUUAUUGAGUGUUUAAAAGUUGGGCUCGGGACAAAUUUGUAAAAAUGGAUCCUCCAGAGUCCAUCAAGCACAAUGAGAACCAUAGGUAUUAUUGUGGACUGGGGAAUGAGCAUUACCUCAUCUCUUCCAGUAGGUAAUUCAGUGUAGGCCUCAUUCACUCUAUGCCUUAGUCAUUUUUUGUUUAUUUACAUAGACUGCUCAGCUCAUUUCUGUGUUACAAGGAAUUGUCAGAUCCCAUUCCUUUUGUCCCUUUGUUCAUAGUUAGCAAAACUCCCACUUACUCUAUGACAUUACUAUGUCACUUAUGUUAAAAUUUAGGUUCUGUAGUCCCACUUUUUUUACAACUUUUUACCUGUAACUUCCCUGUCAGUUUUGUUCUCAUUAGUUGAUCCUAUGGAUAGUUAUCUCAAAGGUAGCUAGAAACUGUUUCUGUACAAUUGAGUAGUUGUGUUGGACAUUUUGCCCUUUGUUUGAUAAGAGAGCAGCUUAUUUUUAUGAAUCAUUAGCCAUCAGACUUCAAUAAAACUUGAGGGUUAACAUACUGAGAACUAUUUGUCUGUGGAGAAAUUUAAUGAAACAAAGGAGGAAAUGUAGUCCAAGGCCUUCAAACAAAGAAACCUCUCUUGAACAAGGACUCGUUGUACUUGGCAUCACUGACUUGCCUUUUUUUACCUGGAAUCCAGGCAAAAUGGUACUUUAGAAAAUCAAGCACUGAAAUCUGAUGCAUGGAAAAAGCUUUAGAAGUGUGCAGACUGAAAAGGAUUAAAAAGUCCUUGUCUUCUUUUAAGUAUCCUCCAGAAACAACUAUCCCCAGCUUAGCGUAACUGUGUGAGAAGCACCAGUGCUGGGACCUAAGUGUACAGAAAGGCACACCCUGGCAGCUGCUGGCCUGAUGCCUGGCUCAGAUAAUUACCUGGUCAGAAGAAUAUCAGUGCAGGUCUGGUCCCAGGGAGUAGUCUGGUAGACAGGUAUCACUAGUUUUAGACCAAAUUUACAUUUAAAUGACAACCUGUUAGAUGGUUAGGUAGUUCUGAAUCUUUGUCACACCUCAAACCCUGUUGAAUUACAUCCAGGCUAGCACUGUUUCCUCCACUGAGUUGGCAGAGCUGUUGGUAAGGCACAUAGUGACCUUGACUGGGGUGAAAAACAGCCAAAAAUGUUUUCUUUUCCAGUGAGAGCAUUUCCCUGCCCCAACUCUCCAGGCAAUUGCAUGAAGACUUGUGCUAGCUCAACAGUGAUGUGCAGGAGGGAAGUGGAGGGGAGAAGGUCAGAGGUCCUCCAGCACAAACUGGGGCUGGAAACUUGCGGAAGCCAAUGUGCCUACGAUACCAAAUGGUCGUUUCUGCUUUCCUCCUUAUUUUGUGCUAAGCAGUCAGCAAGUGCUCUGUCCUUUGGCUACUGCAGUGCUAAAACCUCUGGGGACUCUAGCUCUCAAUGAAUGAUGAAUGUAUUUACAUAGGUAUACUUAUAUAGGCAGAGAAGACAGUUGCUGUUUUGGCACAUCUAAAGUCCUCUCUGAAAUGGCAAGGAAGAAGGCUAAGUAUGACAGAUUUACUGUGAACCUCCCACUGACAUCUACUUCCAGUUUUGGCAGCUAUUUGUUCCCUGUCCGUAAGCCUGCUCCUUCGUGGCUUUGUCAUUCCCCUUUCUUCUCACAUUGCAGGGCUCUGUGCAGGGAGAAGCAGAGGUGACAGCCUUCCGGAAGGGGCUCAGCCAACUCCAGACCAGCACAGUCAGUGUGCUUUGCACCCUCUCUGCCCUGUUAAGCAUGUCAUUUACACCCUGUGAGAAGAGGAUUCUCCUUGCCUCCCACUCCCAGGUGCUCAGCGAGACUUGCUGACACUCAAUAUAUGGCUGCUUGAGGGGGGACCCCAGGGCACGACUGACUCAGAGCUGUCAGCUCCCUGCCAAGGGGCAAAACAAGAGGUGCGAACUACAGAAGAUAGAAUUUGAAACGAUGCUGCUCACGAUAAAUAGCAAGCUGAGCCUGCCAUAAGGCAAACAGAUGGAUGCGGUGCCCUUUGGUUCUCUCCAGCUACAGAAGUAAUUCUUCUUUCUUGAGUCAUGUGUAGCAAUGGUACAAUUAUUUUUGGACCACCACCAAGACGCCACUGAUAUAACGAUUACGUCUGUGGUACAACCGCUGGCAAUUACUUGUUGCAGCAGUAUGUAGCAGUGUGUUUAGAUGCAUUACUUUUCAUUGUUAGAUGUUUUCACAGUUCAACUUCAAAUUUUCUGAGAGUGUCAUGUAAGACAGAGCGUGAUUGUGUCUGAGUGCUCAACCUGAGAUACAUUAGAGGACUCUGGAUUCAGUUAAGCACCAAAAAAAAACUUCUCUGUAAAAGAUAGCCAGGAGGACACAUGACAAAUGCAUGUUUUUUUCCUGGGAUCUUCUCUCUGGAAAUCUGCGUAUAUUUCAUAGAAAUUACUGCCCACAUUUGAAUCCUGCAAAUAUUUGCUUGUCUUGAUAUACUGUUUGAAGAGUACAUGGGUAUGAAAUUCAUCACUACUGAUGUGAUGCUGACCAUGCUUUGCUGUCAUGGAUUGAUAGCAUCACUAUGUAUUGACUGCACAGCAGUAUUAAAAAUGGACCCUGGGGAUGCAUCUUAAGACACCUGUUUGGAAGGUCCAAGGGUGAGAUCCCAGCGUUGUAUUUAGCUGAGACCAGGCAACUUAUUCUUAGGCAGUACAGUGCUGAGCUCUUCAUACAGCCGAUGGCAAGUCAUCAUGCUUGCCUCUGAAUGACGGAGCCAGCCAUAGUGUUCCAUUGUUCCGGGCAUGUAUAAAACUUUUGCCCUCCCUCCCAUCCUCUUGCACUCACCUCUCUAUGGCCUACUGCUUCCAUCCUUAUUUCUUCAUGGGCUUCAACAUCUCACAAGUAGCCAUUGCUUUGUCUCUUCUUCUGCAGUCUUUAAUGAAUGUUCUGACUCCAGUCUUUUGCCAGAACUUAUUUACCUGGCAGAUGACUGCAGAAAAUGUUUCCAUCAUUUUAAGAUCUACAGCAACUAGGAUAUACUACAGAGAAUGUCUGGUGCUGAGCAGGAUUAUAAAGCUCUAUUUUCCCCUCUUCUCCUUCACACCAGCAGUUGUGGCAUAUGCUCAGAAUUUGACAUGGCCACAGCUGAGCAGCAACCCAUUUAGAUCUGGGUUGCAUUUGCCUCUAGAGACACAGGUGGAAUGUGAGCCAUCUGUCCAGUGCUAAAUGCAAGACAGCCCAGGGAUCGUGCCCUUGCAUGACUUUUCCUUUUAUUUCCUUUAAAUAAAUAGAUUAACCAUUCUUGAUCUUCUUGCAAGUUUGAAAACAAUGGAGGGUUGGAAAUUGCAGCUGGGAAAAUGUUUUUGGGGGUACAAUAAAGUCAUUGAUAUACUGGAGCAAGUCCAGCAGAGAUCAACCAAAAUGACUCGAGGCAGAGCACAUGAUGUAAGAGGGAAGCCUGAGAGAGCAGCUGGGUUUGCUCAGCCUGGAGAAGAGAAGCAUUGCUUAAUGAGAUGUUGCAGAAAAGAUGGAGACAUUCUUUCUGACUACAAGUUACAACUGACUAGCUAUCAAAAGCAAACUUGUGACAAUCAGGGGGUCAAACACUGGAAACAGAGGGGCCUGGGAACUGCCGUCCCUGGAUAUAUUAAGAACACCAAAGGUCCUGAGCAUCCUGAUCUAACUGCAAAGCUUGUCCUGUCUUGAGUGCAGUAUUGGAGCAGGUAAUCUCCAGAGCUCUUUUGUAAAACAAAUUAUUCUAUGUUUCCAUUAUAAUUGAGAAUGGGAAACAAAGGCAGCAGACCAGCAGGGCCUGUUAGGGGAUAGCUAAGCAAUACACAAUUUUUAUCAUUUAUUCAUUAUUGCACAAAUGGUUUCCUUGCUCUGUCACUACAUCUGUAUUGCUUGGCUUGGUCUAAAGUCAUUGCUUUUCUCCAAGGGGCAAGAAGAACACUGGCACUGUGGUAUAUCACCCAGUCACACAACAGCUUCAGUGCCAGCCUCCUUGCAAGACAAUAGGCUCACCAGCCUCAAAGAUAACAGGGCAGUUCUUUGAUUUCAAGCGUUUAAAAGCUGUAUUAAGGCAAAUAAAUGCAUUACUUGCAUUUCAACAUUCUCACCUCAGGCACUUGUAUCCCUUGUUUUCUGUGCUGUCACAUGGCCAUGAUGGAGUCCUCACUAGCAGCAGGGAUACCCAUCUGACUCUGAAGUUUGGAACAGAGAAGAUCCCCCAAAGGGAGAAGCUAAUGGCACUCUUGACUGGCUAAGGCUGCAGACCCAAGCCUGUACCCGUACCAGCCAGUGCCCUUGAUCUAUAUUCCCUCAGCAAAGAUCUUUGCCAUGGGACACUAUGAGAUUGUGGUCUCUUAACAUUUGUUCUUACUUUAAGAGCUGGAAUUGACUCUGCUACUUUGUGAUUUCUCAGUGUUCCUUUAAGCCUCAUUUUCUGGAGUUCUGCAAUAAAAUAUAUAAAUACUAGCUCAGCUAGGCUAAUGGUGAAGGGUUCACAUACAGGAAGACAAUGAAUUGACUGAGUCAGAGGGAGACCAUGAAGAACUACUUUGGAUGUACUUGGAAGAGAAUGUGUAUACUCUGUUAUAAACACAGGAUGUCUUCACUGACUCGAUAAGUGCUCAGACACCUGGAGAAUUACAUGUGAUAUAGGAAAUAUGGAAAUCCAUACUGGAAACUAAAUUUUGUGCUUUCGAACUGGCAUACAAUUUUUUCGUGAGCAGUAAGACAGUGACAAACAAGUUGAAAACCCUUGACCUGUAAGUCUAAUAAAAUACAAGAACUGAUAUAGUAUCAGAUAGUAAUUUAAAAAAAAAA